GGCCGCCUGGCGAAAUGGUAUCGCGUCUGACUACGAUUGCGUACUAAUCAGGAGAUUGCAGGUUCGAGCCCUGCGGUGGUCA
rnacentral:tRNA from 1 species